CCGGCGACCGGCGCACGGGUGAGUAACACGUAUGCAACCUGCCCGUCUCAGGGGGAUAAUCGUCGGAAACGGCGUCUAAUACCCCGUAUGAAGCUGGACGGCAUCGUCUGGUUUUGAAAGAAUAUCGGAGACGGAUGGGCAUGCGGCGCAUUAGCUAGUUGGCGGGGUAACGGCCCACCAAGGCGACGAUGCGUAGGGGUUCUGAGAGGAAGGUCCCCCACACUGGUACUGAGUCACGGACCAGACUCCUACGGAAGGCAGCAG
rnacentral:rRNA from 1 species